rnacentral:rRNA from 1 species
UACGGAGGGUGCAAGCGUUGCUCGGAAUUAUUGGGCGUAAAGCGCACGCAGGCGGCAAGGUAAGUCAGUUGUGAAAUUCCCGAGCUUAACUUGGGAGCUGCAGCUGAUACUGCCAUGCUUGAGUACGGAAGAGGGGAGCGGAAUUCCCAGUGUAGAGGUGAAAUUCGUAGAUAUUGGGAGGAACACCGGUGGCGAAGGCGGCUCCCUGGUCCGAUACUGACGCUCAUGUGCGAAAGCGUGGGGAGCAAACAGGAUUAGAAACCCCUGUAGUCC